rnacentral:rRNA from 2 species
GGGUUGUGAGGUUAAGCGACUAAGCGUACACGGUGGAUGCCCUGGCAGUCAGAGGCGAUGAAGGGCGUGCUAAUCUGCGAUAAGCGCCGGUAAGGUGAUAUGAACCGUUAUAACCGGCGAUACCCGAAUGGGGAAACCCAGUGUGACUCGUCACACUAUCAUUAACUGAAUCCAUAGGUUAAUGAGGCGAACCGGGGGAACUGAAACAUCUAAGUACCCCGAGGAAAAGAAAUCAACCGAGAUUCCCCCAGUAGCGGCGAGCGAACGGGGAGGAGCCCAGAGCCUGAAUCAGCAUGUGUGUUAGUGGAAGCGUCUGGAAAGGCGCGCGAUACAGGGUGACAGCCCCGUACACAAAAGCGCAUGUGCUGUGAGCUCGAUGAGUAGGGCGGGACACGUGGUAUCCUGUCUGAAUAUGGGGGGACCAUCCUCCAAGGCUAAAUACUCCUGACUGACCGAUAGUGAACCAGUACCGUGAGGGAAAGGCGAAAAGAACCCCGGCGAGGGGAGUGAAAAAGAACCUGAAACCGUGUACGUACAAGCAGUGGGAGCCCCACCACUAAGCCAGUGGUGAACUCCACAUACGCAUCCUUUGCUGAGGAUACGGUUAACGGAGCGAAAGCGACGUUCAACCGCAAAAGAAGCAGAGGGGGCUUAGUGGUGGGGUGACUGCGUACCUUUUGUAUAAUGGGUCAGCGACUUAUAUUCUGUAGCAAGGUUAACCGUAUAGGGGAGCCGUAGGGAAACCGAGUCUUAAC